GCUCGAGUGGCGAACGGGUGAGUAUUACGUGAGUAACCUGCCCUCAACUGUGGGAUAAGCCUGGGAAACUGGGUCUAAUACUGCAUAUUCUUCUUUCACCGCAUGGUGGGGGUUGGAAAGUUUUUUCGGUUGGGGAUGGGCUCGCGGCCUAUCAGCUUGUUGGUGGGGUGAUGGCCUACCAAGGCGGUGACGGGUAGCCGGCCUGAGAGGGUGGUCGGCCACAUUGGGACUGAGAUACGGCCCAGACUCCUACGGGAGGCAGCAGUGGGGGAUAUUGCACAAUGGGCGCAAGCCUGAUGCAGCGACGCCGCGUGAGGGAUGAAGGCUUUCGGGUUGUAAACCUCUUUCGGUACAGAACAAGGCACGUUUUUUGCGUGUGGAGGGUAUGUGCAGAAGAAGCGCCGGCUAACUACGUGCCAGCAGCCGCGGUAAUACGUAGGGCGCGAGCGUUGUCCGGAAUUAUUGGGCGUAAAGGGCUCGUAGGCGGCUUGUUGCGCCUGCUGUGAAAACGCGGGGCUUAACUCCGCGCGUGCAGUGGGUACGGGCAGGCUUGAGUGUGGUAGGGGUGACUGGAAUUCCAGGUGUAGCGGUGGAAUGCGCAGAUAUCUGGAGGAACACCGAUGGCGAAGGCAGGUCACUGGGCCAUUACUGACGCUGAGGAGCGAAAGCGUGGGUAGCGAACAGGAUUAGAUACCCUGGUAGUCCACGCUGUAAACGUUGGGAACUAGGUGUGGGGCCCUUUUCCGGGGUUCUGCGCCGUAGCUAACGCAUUAAGUUCCCCGCCUGGGGAGUACGGCCGCAAGGCUAAAACUCAAAGGAAUUGACGGGGGCCCGCACAAGCGGCGGAGCAUGCGGAUUAAUUCGAUGCAACGCGAAGAACCUUACCAAGGCUUGACAUACACCGGGAGCAUGCAGAGAUGUGUGUGCCUUUUUGGCUGGUGUACAGGUGGUGCAUGGUUGUCGUCAGCUCGUGUCGUGAGAUGUUGGGUUAAGUCCCGCAACGAGCGCAACCCUUGUCUCGUGUUGCCAGCGCGUUAUGGUGGGGACUCACGAGAGACUGCCGGGGUUAACUCGGAGGAAGGUGGGGAUGACGUCAAAUCAUCAUGCCCCUUAUGUCUUGGGCUUCACGCAUGCUACAAUGGCCGGUACAGUGGGUUGCGAUACUGUGAGGUGGAGCGAAUCUCUGAAAGCCGGUCUCAGUUCGGAUCGGG
rnacentral:rRNA from 1 species